UUUGGUCAAAAGAGGUGAGUGCGCUUGAUUCAUUCUUUGUGUUUGGGUUUGGGCGAACGAAACCCCUGUCACUGCAAUUUGGGGUUAUUGCAUUUCAAUUUGGGGCUUCCGUUUCCAUAUCUAGCUUCAACUUACGCAAUGCCUGUUUCUGAUUCUCCAUCUGUGUCAGAUGAUCCUUCUCUUCAAGAAGAGGAAGAUGAUGAAGAAGGCUCCGAGGAAGAAGAAGAAGUAGAAGAGGAAGAAGAUCAAGAUCAGGAAGACGAAGAAGUUGAAGAAGAAGAGGAAGAGGUCGAAGAAGUUGAAGAAGAAGAGGAAGAGGUCGAAGAAGUUGAAGAGGAGGUGAAGGAAGAAGUUGAAGAAGAAGAGGAGGAGGAGGAGGAAGUUGAAGAGGAGGAGGAGGAAGAAGAAACAGUAGAGGUGGAAGAGGAGGAGGAAGAAGUUGAAGAGGAAGUUGAGGAGGAGGAAGAAGAAGUUGAAGAAGAAGAGGAAGAACAAGAAACAGUAGUAGAGAAGAAAAAUGAAGACAAAGAUGAGAUUCCAGUUUCUCUGCCUGAUGAGAAUGAGCUUAACAAAGAAACUGUGGAAGAGGAAGAGGAAGAGGAAGAGGAGGAGGAGGAAGAAGAAGAAGAAAAAGAAGAAGCAAUAGAGAUGGAAGAAGAGGAAAAACAAGAAACUGUAGUAGAGGAGAAAGAUAAAGACAAAAAUGGGGUUCCGGAUUCUCUUCCUGACACGGAUAAACAUAGCAAAGAUUCAUGCCAAAACAUGGAGCUUGAUGUAAAAGAGGAGAAUUUGGGUUCAGUUUCUUCUGUGCCUGAGAAUCCUGAAGUAAUACGGUCAUCACAUGAUAUGGAAGAGAGCAAUGUCGUGCUUUUAGCAUCUGGUCCGCCGCAUGAGGAAUUGACAUUGAAACAAGAAGUUUCUAGUCCUCCAAAACCAAGUGAAAACUUGAUUUCUGCUGAAGAUGAGAAAAAUCAAGGCUUAAAUGUUGAUGCUGAAAAUUCUGGAUAUCUUCAGAAGAAAACCUUUGGAGGAUGCAGUGAACCAGUUUGCAAUAGCAAAGCUUCUUUAUCUGAUGUUAAGGACAUUGAUUCUAGGGCCACCAAGUCAUCUAGUAAUAAUACGGUAAAAGACGUGGUUACUGGAAUCAUACCAAGAGAUGAUUUUGUCGAGAAUUCUGAUGGUGGUCAGAACUCUAAGGAGAAAAUUAAGCAGUCAGAGACGGAGUCAAGGGUUGAUGUGAAACAAAAGCCAUCAAGUAGGGCUAGAAGUCCGUCUCCCAGUGCUCAGAUUACAGACGGAAACAAAAGACGUGCAGUUAUAUGUGCUUUUUUCGCUAAAGGUUGGUGCAUCAGAGGUAGUUCUUGUAGCUUUCUUCAUAUAAAAGAUAGUGCGAGUAAUACCGACCAGGGAGCUGAAGGAAACCUAGUUAAUGCACAUCAGAAGAGGGAAUUGAAAUUGGAAAAAGUUAAGGAAAAUGUUGGCGUGUCAAGAACGAAUGAGGGAGAAGCAAGUCCAAGAUGGCAUCCAUCUCAUGAAAAAGAGAAGUUUCCGACGAGGGACAGCUUGUUUCCAAAGAAGACAUCAAACAAUUAUUUCAGCUCAAAUCUUUCCUCGUAUUCAUCCCGUGCAGAGGGAAUGGCUUCUAUUCGAAACCAACAUGUGUACAGAGGAUAUACACCGACAAAAGAUUUUAAUUCGUCUUUAGGUGCAAGUGCUUUGGACUCUCAAAAGCUCUUGAACAGUGACAAGGAAUAUCACGCCUAUAAGUCCACUUUCUCUUCAGACCGGGAAGAUCUAGGUGGUUCAUCUAGGGUUUCACCACAUGCUAAUGGAUAUAAACUGAAAACCCGUUCGUAUGAUUGGGAACCUUCUGUUCCAUUUCGACCGUCCUUUUUUAUUACUUCUAUGAAUGUAUCAUCCCCUGGAGAUCUUUAUGACCCUCUUCGCGAUAGCAUUGAGAUACCUAAUAUUGGAGACGGGUCUUUGAAAGCUUCCCUUCUAAUUCGAGGGUCAUCUAUCCAGGCUUCAUCACAGUUGCGGACAUAUGAUGAUUCUGCUGCAGUUGGGAAACACAUGUCCGAUCUUAAUGAUGACAAAAGUUCGGUAUCUUCCCAUAAUAAAUUUUAUGAAAAUGAGCCAAACAGAAGUUCUGUUCCUCGUGGAAAAGAUUCUCUUGCAACCAAAACAGAAAUAACAUCAGGUACUUGUGCGAACUACCAAAAUGGUAACAUAGAUGUGGGACAAAAUGCCUUUGGUGUUGAAGAUAGGAUUGAAACAACGAAAAAACGGACCAAGCAUGAUGCUAGGCAUCACGGUGAUGGAUCAGAGCACAAAAAUAAAAGAGUAGCAAGGGAUGAUAAAAUUCAUGAAAUGGAGGUUGACUUUCAGACGGAUGGCAGUAUGCACAAAGAAACAAAGGCGCUGAAAAUUUUUCGUGCAGCCCUUGUUGAUCUAGCAAAAGAGUUGCUAAAACCAUUUUGGCAUGAGGGUCGUCUCAGCAAGGAAGCACAUAUAACAAUAGUUAAAAAAUCAGUUGACAAGGUUGUUAGCACUUUAGAGCCACACCAAAUUCCAACAAAUGAAGAUUCUGCUCAGCAAUAUAUUUCUUCAUGUCGGCCGAAAAUUACAAAGGAUAUGUCAAUAAACAUGGCAAAUCUUGAUAUGCAAGCCCAAACACCUUCUUUGUACAGUUUCUGAUGAGUUUGGCCGAUUCCAAUUCAUGACAACUUCCGCCUGAGGCUAUCUGUUUCAAAGUCAAGGUUGAUUUGGAAUAUUUUGAGUUCUCUUUCAAGAUGUUUACUUCAUGUUUUUUCCGCGCUUUCUCUUGCUUAUUCCAUUCUGAAGUAAACUAGCUUGAAUUGCAUGGUUUAUAAGGAUAUCUUAUUUUCAUUAAUUUGCAUAAUUACGUACUUGUUUAGCAACAUUUGGUGUAACUUUCAAGCGUCUGCAAGUAUUGGUAUUGGGCAGCAACUUGGAAAGACUGGAAAUGGCUUGAUUCCAUUAGAUCAAAACACGAUAAGAAGGAGAGCAGAUUUCUUUUGGGUCCAUGUAGAAGGUGUUCUUCUGCUUUCGUGCAGAAGGAGACAAACAGAGGAGAAGAACUUGUAAGAACUGUACGCAAGAGGAAGAGAAACAAGGUAAGAAGAAGAAAUGUGAGGAACUGUCGUUUUCCUGAGAAAUAAGUCACUUAAAAUAAAUCGAAAGACCAGUAUAUUUUAAAAAAGAAACAGAAUAGUUAAAAUUAUAUUAGAUGCAAAACACACAAACUAGGUGCCAUUUCUUUGCCAACUUGCGUGAUUUGCGGCUUUGACCACCACACCUCUAAAAUUGAAGCACAAACAUGAUGAAGGUAUUGGAUAUCUGAUAUGGUGAUGCGUCAAUAAUUGAAAAAUAUAGGAUACAAUACAAUAUGUUUAAGAAACAUAUAUAAAAAUUAAAAUUAGACAUUGGUUAAAUCGUUGUCUAUAAUAAAGUUUAUUAGAGGAUGGGACGGACCACAAAGAAUGAUAUGGCUUUAUACCACGAUGAAGUUAAUAGGGUUUUAGAUAAAUAAAAUGUUCUUUUUUUAAAUAAUUAAAUAUGAUCGAUGAUCAUGAUUUGAUGUAAACAAAGCACUAAGCCUUACAAGAUUCCGAUUCCUAAUAUAUGGAAACUAAUCUUAAGAUAUAAUCUAAGAUUGUCAAGGAUAAUAUCAAGAUAUUAUAAAAUAUUUUCAUAUAAGCUUAGCAAUAAUAACUUGCAGAAUAAAUAAAAAUAAAAUGUAUAUGUAUUGGAUGAUUAGAGAGAAGAGAGAGCUGAAUGUAUUGAAUGAUUACUGGCGAGUUCUGUUUGUGUGAGUCUAUAUAUAGUAAGUUAAAGAAUAACUAUUAGAGGUAGUUAAUGCAACUACCACCACUGAAAUACGGCAGUUAAAAUAUCACAAUUUCAGAGGAACUACUGUGAUAUUCUCUUCUGAAGCUCAAGGUGGGUGAGUAACAAAGGGUACCUCAAACUCAUUGAGCUUGUCCCUUAUAAAGUUAGAACUAGGAAUCUGGAGUCUGGACGAAGGGAGAACUUUGUUAAUCAAUCAGUAAGCACUUUUUUUUUUCCAAACGAAGAACCGAUCCAAUUCUUUGUGCUUUGCAUAUGCAUGCAAAACCAGGUUAUUACAGAACACUCCUAGAGUGGAGAAGAGAACCAAAACUCAGACAAUCGUUUUUGGAUUCAAAGAGUGUAAGAAGUAGCUUGAGCUAAGAUUUCAUAUUCAGCUUCAAUGCUAGAACGUUCCACAAUUGUCUGUGUCUACAACCACCAGGAUUCUAGGAAAUCAGAUUGGAUCCCCAAAAUAAUUGUAGCCCCUGAAGCAGACAUAUGCAGUCAUAUGAGUCAGCAGCCUAGUCUUCAUAGCAAAAAGCUGUUAAAGUGAGAAAUUAAUAAGGUAAACCUGAAAACAAAUGAAGGUCACAAGUAUCGUUGAGAUAGCGGAAGAUCCUUUUGAGUGUGCAACAAUAAACCAUUAGAGGUCAUACCUUCAUGCUAAAAAAAUAGUCAAGAGACUCUAAUUGCUUGAAAGCAAAUAUCGAGUUGAGUUUGGUAAUAAACUAUUGGAUCAAGUGAGCAGAGCUACCCUUGAACCCAACCUGAAUUAGAGUACCUCUCAGUUCAAACUAGGUUGUUUUCACCCAUAAUUUGCUUUAUUCAGGUCGCAAGCCUGAGUUGUCUUGAUGAUCAUAGCUUUGAGGCUAUGUCAUGUAGACCUCUUCCUCUUGAAGGCCAUUGAGAACCACAUUCUUCACCAAGUUGUUCUUAUAGACCAAUUUAUAGCGAAGACAAGAGCUAGAAUCAUUCUGACGGCGACAAGUUUGAUGACAGAUGAGAAAGUUUCAUUGAAGUCCAAACCUUGCACUUGCUGGAAACCCUAGAAACCAAACGAUCUUUGUAUUUAUUGAGAGUGCAAUCAGUUCUGGCACUUUUGUACACAACACAAGAAUUUGUUUUCUAAUAUGAUGCGAUUAGCCAAGAGAUCAAGGCAGUUUUGAUGCAGGGCAAUAGACCAGUAGUCUAUUUCUGCCAGGCACUCUCAUCAAGAAUCCUAUCCAUACAGAUGUUCAAACAUAGGUGGUAAAUUGAUCCUUAGAGACCAUCUUUCGGUGCUUUGGAUUGGAGUGUCCUAAGUAGUGCUCAUAAGGCUUGGGCUAUCUUCACCUUACAAGUCGAUUUUGAAAGGUUGAUAUGGGGCCAACCCAAAUUCUAAGAUAGUGUUAUAGCCUAUUCUAGAUCUGUUGUCGAGGACUUUUCAUAUCGUCCACGCUUCAGGCCCUUUGGUCUUAGGUGUGACAGGGUUGGAAAUUUCAUCUUAAUUGUGGUCCACCUCUAGCCAUCUAAUUGCAGCAUUUAGAUUGCCGCCAAGUUCUAAAAGUUUAGAACAGUUUCUUCCAUAAGAACAGUGCUUAUGUGUGGCGUCCAUGCCAUCUUAGCUGUAAGUUCUCAGUUAAGAAUUCUGCUAGUAAUGGUCUCUCUGCAUGUCAUGAAAUUAGUUUUGAUUCAACACGACAUAGGUGCUGUAUGACAGCAUUCCCCACCAUAAUUUGGCAUCUGAGUGGUGAGACCAAGGCGGGUUCUGUAGCCCAACUGCCCAAGGUAAUAUUGAUGGUUGACAGGAAUUAAGCCUUGAGGCAGCUUAAAUAUCACCUUCAUUAGGCCCAACAAACUAUUUAGAGAUAUGCUGAUUCACACGGGAGGCAUGUAAAGUCUGUAGAAGGGGAUUGAGUUCGUUUGAAACUGAGACAGCUUAGACUAAGCUUGGCUGCUAGAAGGAUCAACACCAAGCCUUCUCCACAUUAUUUUUGUCCUUUUCAGAUGGUUUCUUGCUUAGGGGAGGUUGCUUACAUGGUCCAGCUACUGGGCUUAGGAUAUAUCUCGUGUUUCAUGUCUCUCAACUCAAACAUAACAUGCAAUGAAAGGGGAAUCUGUAGCAGCAACCUUAUUUCCUGAGAUGAAAGUCAAUAACCCGAUCCUGUGGUCACCCAAAGCAGCGUUGAGUGUUGACCACCACAGAAAGGAGGUGUAAUGGUAAGUCACUAAUCCAAGAGCAGUUUGCAUCUUUCAGGAUCUGGCAGGAUUAGUGGGGAACUAGUAAGAGGUAGGAGGGUUAGUUAUGGAGAGGAUGGGGUCUUUUAUAUAGGCUAGGCGGGAAAGAUGAAACUAAAUCUGAGUAUUGAUGAUAGUUGAAGCUUAGAAAAUUCUCUUCCUUGUGUUUUGUUAGUUUCACAGUAAUACCGAAACUGAAACUAACGGGAACUCCUAUCACCCCCUCCCUGAUUUUAGCCUCUACAAAUAUUGUUCAUGCAUAAAUAGUCAUCUUACUAUUAAAGGUACUGGUAUCAAUGAGUCCAUGUGCUGCACAGUAUCCUAGCCCAUAUAACUACCACUAACUAACUCCUAAAAUCUAGGAAAUGGACUCUAGAUUUAAGGAGCCCUGUAACCAACUAAAUUGACUCCACGAGAUCCAAAUCCUUGAAGACCGGCUGAGUACAUCUCACAAGAGGAGUUAGGGUUUGAUGCAGUGAAGCCAACUUGAAGAUCUACUGUUUGAGGUGUGUCGUUCGAAGCAGUAGACGACACUGUUGGAUUCACAUUUGCAUAAGCAAUUGUGUUCUUGCAAAACCGGUCCAGUUGCGACUCAUGACAGAGAAGAAGAGUGUCAACUUCUAUGGAAAUAAUGCCAAAAUUGCCUGUGAUGAAGCUGACUGUAGAUUCAAAAUCUUGAGGAUGAAGCUGACUGUAGAUUCGAAAUCUUGAGGUAAUCCUUUGAGGAUUACAUCAAGGUGUUCACGUGGGAAGAUCGGCUCACCAAUGACAUUGAUAUAUCCAACCAACAUUUGAACAGGAAGAAGUAAUUCAGAAAUUGAGUUCUUGCAGUUUCCUAGCUUCGUGUGUCUGAGUUCAGAUCAAAGCUGGCAGAGCUUCGCUGCCGAUUGUUGCUGGAAGUUGGCGGGAAUUUUGUCCAAAAGCAUCCACGAACUCUUGCAUCCGAUGACGCAGCGAAGCAUAUCACGAGAUAUAGUUGAUUGCAGCCAUGCGAGAAACACUUGAUUUUGUUGUUCCCAUAGCUCAAACUCGGGAGAAAUGUGAUCAUGAUUCGCAUCAUUAAUUGAAGCAUACUUGACUGGAAUUUUAGGAUUGAGCAAGAAUUGAUGAAGUUUGUGAGCUUUGAUUUCAGGUUCUACCUGUUGGCACCAUAUGAGAUAGUUGUCUGGAUCAAGCUUUGGAGUUGGCGGAGAGCGCAUGAAGGUGCAACCUGCUGCGCUGGUGUGGGAGGAUCAGAGGCCUCAGGAUCGAAGGGAGCUUCUACUGAUACCAUGUUCAAUUCUCAAUUUAGUUUUCUCAAAUUCUGUUUUGCAUUACUAUCGCUUGAAACUGAUUACAAAGUGAUUGAGAUCUAUUUAUAGAUUCAUAGAUCUCAAUUUAGUUAGUUACAAGGCUCCUUAAAUCUAGGGGCAUAGUUUCCUAGAUUUUAGGAGUUAGUUAGGGGUAGUUAUAUGAGUUUCCUAGUUAUAUCAUAGAUCUCACGGGGUAACAUAGCAGUAAGCUUAUGUGCUCAUGUUUUAAAUUGGUUAUCAUUCAGAUUUAAGAGGUUUGUGGUUCUGCAAAUUUUCAAGAAAAUGGCGGCACCUAGGCAAGGAAGUAAAAAAGGAUACAAUUUUUUUCGUUCUUUCUUUAGGGUAUGUUUGGAUUAUAUAAAACUAACGGAGCGGAACAAAACGGAAUAGAACGGAGCGGAACAAAACGGAAUUGAAUGGAGGGGAACAAAAUGGAGCGGAAUGGAAUAUAAACUCCAUUCCAUUGUUUGCAUAUUUUACGAUGGAGUAAAACUAAUAUCUCAUUCCAUUAUAAUCUUAUUAUUUCAUUUUUAUCCUUUACUUCAAAAACAUUAAUAUGAUUAAUGAAAGUGAAAAUUUAGAGGACAAAUUUGUAAUUUUGUUACUAAUUUAUUCCAUUCCAUUGGAUACACUCCAAUUUGAAAGGAAUGAAAAUGGGUUAAAAUAGUGGUAUUGGAGAGAAUGAGUUCCAUCACAUUCCAUUCCUUUUUUGUACUCCCUUCGUCCCAUAAUGAGUUAGGGGUGGCAAACGGACAUGCCCGCCCCGUUUAGGUCCGCCCCGCGAAAGCCCAAAAAAAUGGGACGGGGCGGAGCGGGACGGUCAUAGUUGAGGAUGUGGGUCUAAAACUUAGGCCCGCCCCGCAAAAAAGUGAGGGCGGGACGGGGAAAUUACGCGGGCACUGCACUCUUUAAGUCUAAAAAUGCAAAAAAUUAUGUAAAUGCACGUGCCCGCAAAAGCCCGCGAGAAAAACAGGGUGGGGCGGACACAUUAAAGGGUGAUUACCUGCCCCGCACUAAAGUGCGGGCAAAACGGUCAUGCCCAGCGGGCCGGACCCGUUUUACCAUCCCUAUAAUGAGUGACUCAGUUGACCAUUUCAUAUAGAUUAAGAAAAAAGAAUAAAUGGAAGGGAGAAAAUGAUAUUUUUACUAAAGUACCCCUUAUCAAGUAUUGAGAAUCAUGAAAGUAAUAUUCCCUCGAUUCUACAAUGAGUGAUCUAUUUAGAAUAAAAAAGUGUCCCAAAAUAAAUGAUCCAUUUCAACUUUCAAUACACUUUUUCCAAUUGUACUCUCUAAUUAAUAUCACUUUAAUCAUUCUCAAUAUUUGACAAGGGCCCUUUAGUAAAAAUAUCAUUCUCUCUUUCAUUUAUUCCUUUUUAUUAAUCUGUGUGAAAUGGUCAACAGUAUUCAUUGUUGACGGAUGGAGUAUUAAUUAGAGGGUAGAAUUAGAAGAAGUGUAUUGAAAAUUGAAAUGAAUCAUUAAUUUUGGGACACCUUAUUAUUCCAAAUGGAUCACUUAUUGUGAGACGGAGGAAAUAAAACUAAACAAUGGAACAUGACACCAUUUCAUUCCAUCAAUUUCCUUCAACCCCAUAAGACCCUUAAUGGGUAAGAGUUCACAAGGGCUAUAACUUUACUCGGUACUAAACAUCAUGUAAAAUACUUAGAUAGUUCUGUAGAUCUGAAGCUGACAAAAAAAAACUCAAUAGCAAGCCAUAUAACAAGUGAUCAGCAAGUUUAUAUCAAAUAGAAAGUUUAUAAUAAACCAAAUAAAAUAAAAAUGAGAGAAAAUAUCCAUAGCAUAGAGGUUUAUUAUUUUGAUAAGUAGAUGCUAAUAUAACCUAAUUUUGCAGUAACUGAUCCUGAAAUGAAGCAUGACCCCGAACUUUUUUCAGAUUCCACUUAACUAGAAAAAUGCAAAUUUCUGGUCUUGCAAGUAAUAAUUGCACGAGGGAUAAGUCUUGUAUCAGUAUAUUUUCAAAUUUUCUCUUUGAACAGUGUGUGCUUUAACAGCACCUUGCUUAGCAGUUCGGCAUUCUCGACAUGGUGAUAGAAAAGACAUAAUUUUCUGGCAAAACCCUGUUCUCUUCAUAGUGUUUUGCUUGUUUGUAUGUUUGCUUGCUUUGCCAAGUUCAUGAUAUUUCAUACUGCUGCCUGUUUUUCCGCUCGACAUUUCACUACUGAUAUGACUUGCUAGUAAUGAUCUCGAGGAACUGGUUGGAGUUACAAUCAAAUUCUGAGUUGUUUCAAACGCAAAUGCUUGUGGCUGAAGUUGAAGUUGACCAUUGGAAAUAAGCUGAUCAGCAGGUGUUAUCUUGAUUGGACUGACAGGAGAAGGGAGGUUUUUCUGUUGGUCUUGAAUUGAAACAAGGCCACUAAAAGAGAGCGAGUCCAUUGAAAUGCUAUCAGACACAAGUUUUGUAGGAGGCUUGUUUCCCUUCAUGGUAUGCAUUGAUUCAUGAUCCGAAAUGGCUAUAUCGCUUGAAAACUUAUACAUGCCGAAACUUGCCUUCAUCAAAUUGUUUUAUUUUUCUUGACCCCUUUGAGAAAGAGGAAGGGUAAGCUCAUGCAUAUAUAUAAUUUUCAUUGUCACAUCAAUGAUUUGGUCCAUAUAUAUCCACAGAGGUGUUUACAUUUUGGUGGAUAUUACCAAAGUGAAUACAUUGGUUUCUUAAGGUCACUGUCAAAUCUUGACAUCUUAAUAAGUUUGUAUGACAGUCAUAUCUUCCAUUUUUGUCUUUGCUGUGAGCGUCUUUUGAGCUUACUUGAGGCAUUGCCACUCAUAGCAAUACUCAAAUGGCUGAUUCUACAAGGAUGGCUGUCUUGUUAGCUGAAGAGUUCAGUAUGUUUUGUUUAUUUCUCUUUGCUGAUUAAUUAUUGUUGUAUGUUUCACCACCAUUGAGAUUUUUUUCUUGUUAAAUCACCGACCGAGGUUGGUUGUGGCUGGCCGCAGGCCUAGUAAGUCGAUUAUUUUUUAUAAAAAUGUUGAUUUAUAAAUAUCAACAAUUUAUUAGUUUUAA